AGGUCGGGUGGGUGGAUUUCGAGGCAGGCAGCAGCUCUCAUGGAACUCCCAGCAGUGACACCUCUGAAACGCCACAACAGACAGAUUCGCAGGAACCGGAAGUGGAGGCUCCAUAUAGAAGGCAAGGAACUUGCUGUGGAAUGAGGUGUGUUGAAAUUGUUGGAGGUAUAUACAAUAAUUUUAAUCUUUCCGCAGUGCAUCAAGGCCACGAAAGUAUCGAAGGACUUCAAGAAGCCAGAAGACUCCUUGCGACGAUGACUCUGGGACACUGGCUGUGGCAGCUGAGUGUCUUAGCCCUUAGCCACAUAAAGGCAUCACAAGAAAAAAGGGAGCAGCAGAAAGACGUACUCCAUUUU
rnacentral:lncRNA from 1 species